GACGGAGGGUGCAAGCGUUGUUCGGAUUGACUGGGCGUAAAGGGCGUGUAGGCGGUUGGUCAAGUCCGAUGUGAAAGCCCGAGGCUUAGCCUCGGAAGUGCAUCGGAAACUAGCCAGCUGGAGCGCGAUAGAGGAGGGUAGAAUUCCUGGUGUAGCGGUGAAGUGCGUAGAUAUCAGGAGGAAUACCGGCGGCGAAGGCGGCCCUCUGGAUCGUUGCUGACGCUGAGACGCGAAAGCGUGGGGAGCAAACAG
rnacentral:rRNA from 1 species